rnacentral:rRNA from 1 species
GACAGAGGGUGCAAACGUUGUUCGGAAUUACUGGGCGUAAAGCGUGUGUAGGCGGUCUCAUAAGUCGGAUGUGAAAGCCCCGGGCUCAACCCGGGAAGUGCACUCGAUACUGCGAGACUUGAGUAUCGGAGAGGUUGGUGGAAUUCUCGGUGUAGAGGUGAAAUUCGUAGAUAUCGAGAGGAACACCGGUGGCGAAAGCGGCCAACUGGACGAAUACUGACGCUGAGACACGAAAGCGUGGGGAGCAAACAGG